GCCGGGGUAGCUCAGUUGGUAGAGCAGUGGACUGAAAAUCCGCGUGUCGGCGGUUCAAAUCCGUCCCUCGGCACCA
rnacentral:tRNA from 1 species